rnacentral:rRNA from 1 species
AGUGAACGCUGGCGGUAGGCCUAACACAUGCAAGUCGAACGGCAGCACAGUAAGAGCUUGCUCUUACGGGUGGCGAGUGGCGGACGGGUGAGGAAUACAUCGGAAUCUACUUUUUCGUGGGGGAUAACGUAGGGAAACUUACGCUAAUACCGCAUACGACCUACGGGUGAAAGCAGUGGAUCUUCUGACCUUGCGCGAUUGAAUGAGCCGAUGUCGGAUUAGCUAGUUGGCGGGGUAAAGGCCCACCAAGGCGACGAUCCGUAGCUGGUCUGAGAGGAUGAUAAGCCACACUGGAACUGAGACACGGUCCAGACUCCUACGGGAGGCAGCAGUGGGGAAUAUUGGACAAUGGGCGCAAGCCUGAUCCAGCCAUACCGAGUGGGUGAAGAAGGCCUUCGGGUUGUAAAGCCCUUUUGUUGGGAAAGAAAAGCAGCAGGUUAAUACCCCGCUGUUCUGACGGUACCCAAAGAAUAAGCACCGGCUAACUUCGUG